rnacentral:rRNA from 1 species
AACGAGCGCUGGCGGCAGGCUUAACACAUGCAAGUCGAGCGCCCCGCCAGGGGAGCGGCAGACGGGUGAGUAACGCGUGGGAACGUACCUUUUGGUUCGGAACAACUCCGGGAAACUGGAGCUAAUACCGGAUAAGCCCUAACGGGGAAAGAUUUAUCACCGAAAGAUCGGCCCGCGUCUGAUUAGCUAGUUGGUGAGGUAACGGCUCACCAAGGCGACGAUCAGUAGCUGGUCUGAGAGGAUGAUCAGCCACACUGGGACUGAGACACGGCCCAGACUCCUACGGGAGGCAGCAGUGGGGAAUAUUGGACAAUGGGCGCAAGCCUGAUCCAGCCAUGCCGCGUGAGUGAUGAAGGCCUUAGGGUUGUAAAGCUCUUUUGUCCGGGAAGAUAAUGACUGUACCGGAAGAAUAAGCCCCGGCUAACUUCGUG